UACGUAGGGGGCGAGCGUUGUCCGGAUUUAUUGGGCGUAAAGAGCGUGUAGGCGGCCAGGUAGGUCUGCUGUGAAAACUCGAGGCUCAACCUCGAGACGUCGGCGGAAACCAUCUGGCUAGAGUCCGGAAGAGGAGAGUGGAAUUCCUGGUGUAGCGGUGAAAUGCGCAGAUAUCAGGAAGAACACCCGUGGCGAAGGCGGCUCUCUGGGACGUUACUGACGCUGAGGCGCGAAAGCUAGGGGAGCAAACGGG
rnacentral:rRNA from 1 species